rnacentral:rRNA from 1 species
CCUACGGGAGGGCUGCAGUAGGGAAUAUUGCUCAAUGGGGGAAACCCUGAAGCAGCAACCCCCCGUGGGGGAUGAAGUUUUUCGGAUUGUAAACUCCUUUUGUUAGAGAACAUAAUGACGCUAUCUAACGAAUAAGCACCUGCUAACUCCGUCCCAGCAGCCGCGUUAAUCCGGAGGGUGCAAGCGUUACUCGGAAUCACUGGGCGUAAAGGGCGCGUAGGCGGUAUAGCAAGUCAGAUGUGAACUCCUAUGGCUGAACCAUAGAACUGCAUUUGAAACUGGUAUUAGAGAGUAUGGGAGAGGUAGGGGGAAUUCGUGGUGUAGGGGUAAAAUCCGUAGAGAUCAAGAGGAAUACUCAUUGCGAAGGCGGCCUGCUAGAACAUAACUGACGCUGAUGCGCGAAAGCGUGGGGAGCAAACAGGAUUAGAUACCCGAGUAGUC